AUUGAACGCUGGCGGCAGGCCUAACACAUGCAAGUCGAGCGAGCGGCGGACGGGUGAGGAAUGUCUGGGAAGCUGCCUGAUGGAGGGGGAUAACUACUGGAAACGGUAGCUAAUACCGCAUACCAUCAGAUGUGCCCCGAGGGGAUUAGCUAGUAGGGGGGGGAACGGCUCACCUAGGCGACGAUCCCUAGCUGGUCUGAGAGGAUGAUCAGCCACACUGGAACUGAGACACGGUCCAGACUCCUACGGGAGGCAGCAGUGGGGAAUAUUGCACAAUGGGCGAAAGCCUGAUGCAGCCAUGCCGCGUGUGUGAAGAAGGCCUUCGGGUUGUAAAGCACUUUCAGCGGGGAGGCGUUACCCGCAGAAGAAGCACCGGCUAACUCCGUGCCAGCCGCCGCGGUAAUUC
rnacentral:rRNA from 1 species